rnacentral:rRNA from 1 species
CCUACGGGAGGCAGCAGUGAGGAAUAUUGGUCAAUGGACGAGAGUCUGAACCAGCCAAGUAGCGUGAAGGAUGACUGCCCUAUGGGUUGUAAACUUCUUUUAUAUGGGAAUAAAAUGUUCCACGUGUGGGAUUUUGUAUGUACCAUAUGAAUAAGGAUCGGCUAACUCCGUUCCAGCAGCCGCGGUAAUACGGAGGGGCCGAGCGUUAUCCGGAUUUAUUGGGUUUAAAGGGAGCGUAGGUGGAUUGUUAAGUCAGUUGUGAAAGGAUGCGGCUCAACCGGAAAAUUGCAGUUUAAACUGGAAGUCUUGAGUACAGUAGAGGUGGGCGGAAUUCGUGGUGUAGCGGUGAAAUGCUUAGAUAUCACGAAGAACUCCGAUUGCGAAGGCAGCUCACUGGACUGCAACUGACACUGAGGCUCGAAAGUGUGGGUAUCAAACAGGAUUAGAUACCCUUGUAGUC